AAUCAUCAACUCCCUUAGCUUUGUUGCGACGGUGAGCGUGGACUUGGGGAUUUGCUGGCCUUUGGGUUCUGGCUUCCCUUGAAUGCAUUAGCUGGACGUUGAUUUGCAGCAUAUAUGCGGUGUGAUAAUUGUCUUCACUGUGUAGCUCAAGUUGAACUGGCUUCUAAUCGUCCUUCGCGGGACAACACUUUGACC
rnacentral:misc_RNA from 1 species